rnacentral:rRNA from 1 species
GACGAACGCUGGCGGCGUGCUUAACACAUGCAAGUCGAACGGAAAGGCCCUGCUUUUGUGGGGUGCUCGAGUGGCGAACGGGUGAGUAACACGUGAGUAACCUGCCCUUGACUUUGGGAUAACUUCAGGAAACUGGGGCUAAUACUGGAUAGGAGCUCCUGCUGCAUGGUGGGGGUUGGAAAGUUUCGGCGGUUGGGGCUGGACUCGCGGCUUAUCAGCUUGUUGGUGGGGUAGUGGCUUACCAAGGCUUUGACGGGUAGCCGGCCUGAGAGGGUGACCGGCCACAUUGGGACUGAGAUACGGCCCAGACUCCUACGGGAGGCAGCAGUGGGGAAUAUUGCACAAUGGGCGGAAGCCAGAUGCAGCAACGCCGCGUGCGGGAUGACGGCCUUCGGGGUGUAAACCGCUUUCGCCUGUGACGAAGCGGGAGUGACGGUAAUGGGUAAAGAAGCACCGGCUAACUACGUG